UGAAUAUACUAGCAGUUACGUUCAGGGACGUCUAGUGCAGGAUUCUCCAUAUGCCAACGUCAGGAAGGAGCCUGAACAGUUAUCGAGGAAAGGGGCUGGACAGAUCGUGGCAUAUUCAUCCUGCCUUGUCGACGGGUUGCUGGCAUGGGGGACACGUGGCACCCAGGCCAGUGGACUUGGAGGAGUCCCAUCACAGGCGAGUCCUGCUCCCUGCACCGCGGUGAGGUCGGCUGUGCUCAAGGAGCUCACGCUGUCCUUUAAGGAAAUGGAAUUCAGGGUGCACCGACUGAUUCACUGUUUUAUUUUCUCCGGCCUGUUUCCACCGAGCAGCUAAGUAGCAGCUUGAAACCCUCCAAAUGUCCCCAGCAACGUCACCCUCCGAGCUCCCGACAUCGUCCCACCAUGCUCUCCCAGAAGACGUCCUUCUGCAGGUGCCCACAGAGAAUGCUGACUCUGUGAGGAUGAGGUUUUCCUGGCAACCCGGUCUGCUGGUCACGGUCUCCUUCCACACCCAGCCCUGCACACCCUAGUUGAGGGGGACCCAGGAGAGGACAUCAUGGUCCUGCAGAGUGUGGGUUGGGGAGGAUGGGCCUGAGCACCAGGCCGCUGGUAACACCGUGGUUGGAAGGGGACAAACAGAGGUCGUGUUUCCGCUCUGGGCCACUGAGAAGGCAUGUGGCAGACGGACAUUUUCCGCAUCACACUGUCUGUGAAAACUGCAGACACUUCCUAUGGCAUCCAUUCCUGUGCGCUAGGAAUGUCAGAAGGUGGAACUGGCCUCCACAGGGCCGGACGUCACAAGGACCUCACUAGGCUGCCCUUCUGGGCCCUGUGACGCUCCUGGUGUAAUGGCAAGACAGCGGCACUCUGUGUGCCCAGCUUCUUCAUCCAGAAAGACACUGGAGAAUCCAGGACCAGCGGAGUCAUGCCGGUUUCACCAGCCCCUUCCUACUUCGCCUAGGCCUGCCAAUCCCACUUUACAACAAUGGCCAUUCAGAAUUCUCUUCCCGGGAGCUGGGUAUUUCCCUCCCUUUUUAGGAAGUUCGCUUCUGGUAUCUUCUUCACCAUCAGAAAGUUAGGACCCAAAUUGCCCACAGGUACACCAUGCCCUGGGAAAUGCCAGGACCCUGUUCCGGUAGAUCACAAAGGCUGGGAUGGGACAUGGCCACCCCUCACGGCCCCGCUGAGCUGCUCUCACAAGGCCAUCAACGCUGCCCACACGCAUGUGCGGAACAUAUUUUCUGAUAACAGCUCUACGCAGACAUGGUACCCGUGGCCGAUAAAGUAGGGCCUCUUGUGGAAAGCCCUGCAGAGCUGUACAAAUCACAACCCGGGAGCGCUGUAUUAGAGGAAAGCUAAUUAAAAAUGACAUGGGAAACAUUGUGCUGCCGGCUGGUGAGUUCCGUCUUGGCUUCCUCAAAGAGAUGCUCCCUGUGCUCGUUCUCUAGCUCCCCCGGAAGACCAGCGGGGCCUCCCUGCCUUCCUGCCGUUCGACUUCCUGCUCACCGGCUCCGAACCCUCCUUCCGAAAUCCUCCUGCAGGCUUUAGGCAGGAGGCAUUUAGG